ensembl:lncRNA
GGCGGACAUGCAAUAGUUCGCGCUGACUUAUAUUCCAACAUAGGAAGUGUUAUGAACAGCUGAUCGGAUCGGCAAAGCGUGUUUCUGGAAUAUUAUGUUUUUGUUGCUGCAAGUCUGGAAUAUUAUGUUUUUGUUGCUGGAAGUGCUUUUUAUGCAAUUUUUGCAAAGCUAUAUGUGGAAGGAAACCGUGACCUAGGGCAAGCUAAUGGAAUAAGAUGAUAAAAGCAAAGCAGCAGCUACUUUGGUGUGGGAUUCCACAGCUGUGUUACAGAGAUGGAGGAAGAGUUACAGGAACUCAGGGACUUGAUCGCGCAGCUGAAAGCAGACAAUGAGAGGCUGCGUCAGGAGAGGGCUGUUGAGUCAGAUCACUUUGGACGGACCAUUAUUCUGCACUGUCGAGCUCCAAACAACAACUUCACUCUUGUACAGUGGAGCAGAGCUGGUCUGGAGCCAGAACAUGUUGCUGUUUACAAGGGUGGACAGUUCCUUCCAGAUCACCAGCAUCCAUCUUUUAAGAACCGGGUGGAUCUGCAGGACAGACAGAUGAAGGAUGGAGACGUAUCUUUGAUUCUGAAUAAUGCGACGAGUGCUGAUAGUGGAAAAUAUGAGUGUCGUGUGUUCAACAGAGGAACAGUGCGCAGGAGGAGAACCCUGUCAAGGAUUCCUCCCAUCAACACCACCUACCUGAGUGUUGUUGAUCCUCCAGGUCAGACAGGAGGACACACAGAGGAUGGAGGGAAAGAGGAUGGAGGGAAGAAGGCAGGAGGGAAUGAGUUGUCUUGGGAGUUGUUAGCGAGGGUGGCAAGAGGGAUGGAGAUGUUUGCGAGGCUGGUUAGAGGGAUGGAGUUGUUGGUAAGGGUGGCUAUAAGGAUGGAGUUGUUAGCGGUGGAGACUACAUGGAUGGAGUGGUUGGCGAGGGUGGCUAGAGGUAUGGAGUUCUUGGUGGAAGUGGUUAGAGGGAUGGAGUGGUUGAUGGAGGUGCCUAUAGG